AAUGACAUUUCUAUAUUCAGCACAACACAUUUAGAUCAAACUCGUUUCAACAAGUACUACACUGACUAUGUUGGCUUUGGUACUCUUUAACGUCGGUUUUGCCUUGGUUGCAGGUACAUUAAGGAAUGUUCCGGAAGAAUGCUAUCCAGUGUUUAGUUGUUCUCGCAGAUUUUUAGAUGUUGGAAGCUUCUUUUAUGAUGGCGAUACUUUAAAAGAUGUCAGCGUAGAAACAGUUGACAAGCUAUGUCAACAUUUGAAGACAAAAACCAUUUGUAAGGAGGCGGAUAAGUGUAAAGAUAUGCAUUUUGUUAUUGACAUGAUGGCUGAAAUAGAAAC